rnacentral:rRNA from 1 species
GUAGGUGGCAAGCGUUGUCCGGAAUUAUUGGGCGUAAAGCGCGCGCAGGCGGUUCUUUAAGUCUGAUGUGAAAGCCCACGGCUCAACCGUGGAGGGUCAUUGGAAACUGGAGAACUUGAGUACAGAAGAGGAAAGCGGAAUUCCACGUGUAGCGGUGAGAUGCGUAGAGAUGUGGAGGAACACCAGUGGCGAAGGCGGCUUUCUGGUCUGUAACUGACGCUGAGGCGCGAAAGCGUGGGGAGCAAACAGGAUUAGAUACCCUGGUAGUCCACGCCGUAAACGAUGAGUGCUAAGUGUUAGGGGGUUUCCGCCCCCCUUAGUGCUGCAGCUAACGCAUUAAGCACUCCGCCUGGGGUACGGCCGCAAGGCUG